UGAAAACUGCAGUGGCAGCAAACACUACAGGCGGUGCAAAGCGCCAUGUGUCCUCCAAUAAUAUGACCAUGGGGGCCAGUGAACCUCCGAUACGGGCUAUAAAAGAGGUGUAGCCCAAGCCACAUUGCCUAUGAAAGUUCCACCACUCACCACCAGGCAAUUAUGCCAACAAGGCAGGGUGAUGUCACCACCAGAAUGAGGUGCCUCCAGUCCCUGAUGAGAUAUGCCAGAAGAGCCAGAAGCAUGUUCCCUACACUCCAUCCGAGACUGAUAAUGCAGAAAUUCGAGAUAUAUCUUGGGGCCUUUCAAAUGUUGUCUUUGACAAUGCCUUGGAAUUGAGGACCACUGAAAUAGAGGAAAGCGCCUUGCAUAUUCUUACCUCUGUGGCGGUUGUUGAGGUGAACUGUGA